rnacentral:rRNA from 1 species
GACGAACGCUGGCGGCGUGCCUAAUACAUGCAAGUAGAACGCUGAAGGAGGAGCUUGCUUCUCUGGAUGAGUUGCGAACGGGUGAGUAACGCGUAGGUAACCUGCCUGGUAGCGGGGGAUAACUAUUGGAAACGAUAGCUAAUACCGCAUAAGAGUAGAUGUUGCAUGACAUUUGCUUAAAAGGUGCAAAUGCAUCACUACCAGAUGGACCUGCGUUGUAUUAGCUAGUUGGUGAGGUAACGGCUCACCAAGGCAACGAUACAUAGCCGACCUGAGAGGGUGAUCGGCCACACUAGGAUGAGACACGGCCCAGACUCCUACGGAGCACAGUAGGGAUUUCGGCAAUGGACGGAAGUCUGACCGAGCAACCCGCGUGAGUGAAGAAGGUUUUCGAUCGUAAAGCUCUGUUGUAAGAGAAGAACGAGUGUGAGAGUGGAAAGUUCACACUGUGACGGUAUCUUACCAGAAAGG